GAGACGGUUCUCUAAGAGGCCCGUCAUCGGAAUGGGUACAAUCUAAAUCCUUUAACGAGGAUCUAUUGGAGGGCAAGUCUGGUGCCAGCAGCCGCGGUAAUUCCAGCUCCAAAAGCGUAUAUAAAAGUUGUUGCGGUUAAAAAGCUCGUAGUUGGAUCUGCGCCUUAGGCCUGUGGUCCCCUAAAUGGGAGGUACUGCAGCGCCUUGGCUAUUUUGUCUGGUUUUCCCUUGGUGCUCUUCGCCGAGUGCUCUGGGUGGCUGGAAUUUUUACUUUGAAAAAAUUAGAGUGCUCAAAGCAGGCGAUCAGCCUGAAUAGUGGUGCAUGGAAUAAUGGAAUAGGACUUCGGUUCUAUUUUGUUGGUUUUCGGAGCUCGAAGUAAUGAUUAAGAGGGACAGACGGGGGCAUUCGUAUUGCGACGUUAGAGGUGAAAUUCUUGGAUCGUCGCAAGACGUACUACUGCGAAAGCUUUUGCCAA
rnacentral:rRNA from 1 species